UUUGUUGGGUACACGUCGUCGUCCUAUUUCCCCACCAGAAGUAUCAUAUAGUAAUAGUUACAUAAAAAGUUUCAACAUCGUCUCAAUUCCAUAUAUUUUAAGUUAUCAGACUUAUUACUCCCCAAUUAAAAAGAUAGAAACCCGAACCUCCAUAAUGUAUUAGGUAAGAACUAAAAUCGACACAUAGCUGAUUUAAAUCGGUUUAAUGUUUUUGGAUUUGAAACAUUACCC
rnacentral:lncRNA from 1 species